AGUCGAGGAUCUUCGGCAAUGGGCGCAAGCCUGACCGAGCGACGCCGCGUGUGGGAUGAAGGCCUUCGGGUUGUAAACCACUGUCAGAGGGGAUGAAAUGCGUAGGGGUUCUCUCCUACGUUUGACAUAGCCUCAGAGGAAGUACGGGCUAAGUUCGUGCCAGCAGCCGCGGUAAGACGAACCGUACAAACGUUAUUCGGAAUCACUGGGCUUAAAGGGUGCGUAGGCGGCGGCGCAAGUUGGGUGUGAAAUCCCUCGGCUCAACCGAGGAACUGCGCUCAAAACUGCGUUGCUUGAGGGAGAUAGAGGUGAGUGGAACUUAGGGUGGAGCGGUGAAAUGCGUUGAUAUCCUAAGGAACACCAGUGGCGUAAGCGACUCACUGGGUCUCUUCUGACGCUGAGGCACGAAAGCUAGGGGAGCGAA
rnacentral:rRNA from 1 species